ensembl:misc_RNA Metazoa_SRP Metazoan signal recognition particle RNA
GCUGGGUGUGGUAGCGCACACCUGUACUCCCAGAUACUUGGAGGCUGAGGUGGGAGGAUUGCCAGAGCCCAGGAAUUCUAGGCUACAGUGAGCUCUGAUUGCGCCACUGUACUCCACCCUGGGUGACAGCAAGACCCCAUCUCUA